rnacentral:lncRNA from 1 species
GGCCGAGCCCCGAGCGCGGGCGCUGUGAGAGAGGCGGGAAAAGGGCUGAGGUGGGAGGACUUCCUCCUGUUCGCGGCGGGCGCUUUGUCUUACGUUCUCUCACCCCAGUGAGACUGAGCUGUGCGGGCACUUGCUGCUUGUGAAGGGUGGUUUGUUUGUUUUUCAUUUUUAAGGGUAAUGCUGAGUGAUACUUGCUUCUUCCGUUUCAGUGGAUGAGAUUUUGUUCACUGAUGUAGUACAGGGCGGUAUUACAUAUAGCUUUAUGGCCACUCGUAGAAUUCCAGUGAAGUUGCUGUUGUAUACAAUGUAAUACUUGCACAUGCUAUAUUGGUACUUGCAGUGUGUGUGUGCGUGCAGGGAUGAAGAGGCAUUUUUACUUGAAGAAGUGGUAGUAAGAGGAUGAGCGAUGAAAAGCAGGGCUCUCCCUGCAUGAGUCCCCAGGCCUGCCUCACACAGCUGUGGGGCUGACUUGCUCUGUGGGAAAGGCAAACCGGUCUGUGAAGUGGGCACCGUGUCCCUGGAAACUGCUGUGGUGUGCAAACUGACCACUUCAAGGGCUGGAAAAGCUCUUCCAGGUUAAUGGUCCCAGUGACUCUGCUCUGCCUCUUGCAUAAAGGCAAGGCCUUUCUGCUACAGCUUUAGCUGUGGCAUUUUAGUAUAUCCAAGAGAAUCAUCUACGUUUGUGCCAACGUAACAUCGUGUUCCACAUGACUGGAAAUAACGUAUUUGGUACUGGUCUAGAGAAGAGGAGUAACAAGAAGACUUACACCUACAUAUUCUUCUCUCAACUACAUCAGUUGGACUAAUGAGAGAGCAACACCUUCACCAACACUAACUCUCAAAGAAAAGAUUGGGUGUGGUGAUGAGACUACUGACCUGGGACUCAUCGGACAAACCCAGCUAUGCAUCAGAUACGCUUCGUAGUCAUGGUAAAACUAAAUUUCUGGAACGUGCUAAAAAGGCCAACAGCAUAGAUGCGACCUAAGGAUUUGCAUUAGUUACAAGUCCUUUCUUCCUUCCUUGUUUUUCCCCUUUUACGGCUCCUUCUGAAGAAAAAGAAAAUGACCAAAAAAGGGGAAACGGAAUAACGUGUUAUUUCUGCUACAAACGGUUUCUUAAAAACAAAGCCCUUUUAAAGAUUUUCGCACGCUUGCUUGUACUUUCCUCCGGGAGAAGGGCCGAGAAGCCCGGUAGCACUGGGGCAGGCUGGCGCUGAACUCAGGGCACGGAGCGUGCACGCUCUGCCAGGUGUGAGCACGGCAGCGCCGUGCACGCUGGGCUUCCGAAUCAGUGCUGCGUGCUCG